rnacentral:rRNA from 1 species
UACGUAGGGUGCGAGCGUUGUCCGGAAUUAUUGGGCGUAAAGGGCUCGUAGGCGGUCCAUCGCGUCGGGAGUGAAAAGCUGGGGCUUAACCCCAGUCCUGCUUUCGAUACGGGUGGACUAGAGGUAGGCAGGGGAGAAUGGAAUUCCUGGUGUAGCGGUGAAAUGCGCAGAUAUCAGGAGGAACACCGGUGGCGAAGGCGGCCUUCUGGACAGCGACUGACGCUAAGACGCGAAAGCGUGGGGAGCAAACAGG